rnacentral:rRNA from 1 species
AGUCGAGCGAACAGACGAGGAGCUUACUCCUUUGACGUUAGCGGCGGACGGGUGAGUAACACGUGGAUAACCUACCUAUAAGACUGGGAUAACUUCGGGAAACCGGAGCUAAUACCGGAUAAUAUAUUGAACCGCAUGGUUCAAUAGUGAAAGACGGUUUUGCUGUCACUUAUAGAUGGAUCCGCGCCGCAUUAGCUAGUUGGUAAGGUAACGGCUUACCAAGGCAACGAUGCGUAGCCGACCUGAGAGGGUGAUCGGCCACACUGGAACUGAGACACAGUCCAGACUCCUACGGGAGGCAGCAGUAGGGAAUCUUCCGCAAUGGGCGAAAGCCUGACGGAGCAACGCCGCGUGAGUGAUGAAGGUCUUCGGAUCGUAAAACUCUGUUAUUAGGGAAGAACAAAUGUGUAAGUAACUAUGCACGUCUUGACGGUACCUAAUCAGAAAGCCACGGCUAACUACGUGCCAGCAGCCGCGGUAAUACGUAGGUGGCAAGCGUUAUCCGGAAUUAUUGGGCGUAAAGCGCGCGUAGGCGGUUUUUUAAGUCUGAUGUGAAAGCCCACGGCUCAACCGUGGAGGGUCAUUGGAAACUGGAAAACUUGAGUGCAGAAGAGGAAAGUGGAAUUCCAUGUGUAGCGGUGAAAUGCGCAGAGAUAUGGAGGAACACCAGUGGCGAAGGCGACUUUCUGGUCUGUAACUGACGCUGAUGUGCGAAAGCGUGGGGA